UGGGCAACCUAGGGGAGCUGCGGCGGGGCCGUGGCUGAGAGUGCGCAAGGCGCAGACCCUGUGAACCUGUCCGGGCAAUACCGGCGAAGGAAAGGAACAGCCAUGACGG
rnacentral:ncRNA from 2 species